UAACGGCGAGCGAACGGGGAAGAGCUCGUAGCCGAAUCCUAUGCUUAACUGUAUAGGAAAUGUGGCGUAUGGGAGGCGACACUCUCCGAGUACGGCCUGAGGUGCAAGUCCCCAUGAGAGGGGCGUGCUACCCAGAGCGGGUGCUAGGCCUGUAACGCCUUGGGCCUGUGCGCGGAGUCGUCGUUCUCCUCGGAGUCGGGUUGCUUGGGAGUGCAGCCCAAAGUGGGUGGUAAACUCCACCUAAAGCUAAAUAUGACCGAGAGACCGAUAGCAAACAAGUACCAUGAGGGAAAGUUGAAAAGCACUUUGAAGAGAGAGUUCAAGAGUACGUGAAACCGUUCAGAGGUAAACGGGUGGGGCCUCGAAGUCCGAUGGCGGUGGCGGAUUCAGCCUGGGCGCUGUUCGAACGGUGUCCAUUAGCCUCUUUUUGAGGGAAUGGAUACUUUCGACCCGAGUCGCGCCCGGCGCAUUUCCGCACCCCGCCCCAAAGGGCGUCGCAACGGAUUGGGAGGCUGUCGUAAGGGCCGGUCGGAAGGUGGCCGCCUUUCCCCUCGGGGAUGAGCGGUGUUAUAGACGACCGGGGCCCCGACGGGUCGCCCGACCGUGGAUACCUAACGUUCCCUCGCAGAAGCGAGCGACCGCCUAUGUAAGUAUAGGAAACGUAGCGGGGCCACCAAGAAGGUGAACUGCGCGUUCUCCUUUAUUUUAUGUAGGAUGUGACGCUGCGGAACCCAAGGUUAGCGGCGAGUAGGUCGGUUACCCACCCGACCCGUCUUGAAACACGGACCAAGGAGUCCAAUGCGCGCGCGAGUUUCUGGGACUUGAACAGGCCCGGGGGCGAAAUGAAAGUGACAGUUGGGAUCCGUUCCUCUAGGGGGGCGGCGCACCAACGGCCCGUCACAACUUAUUUAAGUGCGGCGGAGCUUGAGCGCGUGCCUUGGGACCCGAAAGAUGGUGAACUAUGCCUGGGCAGGACGAAGCCAGAGGAAACUCUGGUGGAGGUCCGUAGCGAUUCUGACGUGCAAAUCGAUCGUC
rnacentral:rRNA from 1 species